rnacentral:tRNA from 1 species
UUUAGCCUUCCAAGCUACUGAUGCGGGUUCGAUUCCCGCUACCCGCUAAUAAUAGGGUCGGACCGCCCCGAACCU